UUUCAUUCUUACCAUCUCUAGUUGAGGAAACAGGCUCAGGAAAGCUGAAAGCUAAGUGGCUUGCCUAAGAAUUUGUAGCUCCCUGGUAGCAUGACACCCGAAUCUGACCUUCCACAUCCCCGGCACCUUCCUGGAAGACCCACGUGGGAAGAGCAUGGAGGGGAGACCCCAGCAUCGUUCCAGAGCCAGGUCUGGAGGAGCCACCUGAGCUGCUGUCAUUCCACCCCCUGGCGGUUUAUACUGCCUUCUUGAUACUGCCACCUCCAGUCACUGGUGUUGGGCUUCUGAGGUGACCACUCUGCCUUCCUGGGGGUACAGGAAGACCAAGGUCUACAGAAGCACCUUCCAGGCUUGAGCUCGUUCACAGCCUGCCUGGCCCUGGGCUGGGGAACAGGCAGGGAGCAGCCUCUGGCUCCAGAGCAGGGUGGGUCUCAAUGCAUCACAUCCGUCCUUCCGGUUCCCAGCAGAGCCUUUGAAUGCUCUGCCUCAGAUCUGCAGCCAGAGGAAAAGGGGGAGUGGGCAGGGCAGACUCAGUCUAGGGACGAGCUAUGCAGCACAGCCAGUGCCAGCUCCCCACGUGCCUCCCCAACCAGGGUGAUAAAGGCUGACACCUGGGUGUGUAGCUGGGUCUGGCCCCCAGGGCAUCACAGUGACCGGGGCAAAAGGGUCCCACAAGCGCACAGGGGUGGAGGCUGAUGGCAGAGGGAAGAGGCAGGUGGGAGCCCAAAGACCCAGGCCUCCUCCCCCAGCCGGCCCACCCUUGUUUGAGCAGAGAGCACUCAGUUCCUGUUUGUCCAGUUCCCCCAAAGGCCUGGGCUGGGGAGAUAAGGAGUUAACAAAUGAGGGGAAUGAGGCAGCCUGGGCGAUAGGCAGGCACUCAGCCAACUGGUCACACCGCCUUACUGCUGGGUGCCGUCUGGCCCCAGGCAUAGCUGGGUCAGAAACCCAGGGCCCACCACAGCCUCUCCACCUGCUGUGGGUGCAGCCCCAGGUGGAACCCACCCUGGCUGAGAGCCCGGGGGUAGGCAUGGGCCAUACCAGGGGCUCUGAGAAGCAGCUCCCAUCCCCCAGCCCCCACAACCUUCUCCUGGCUGUUGGCUCUUGGCCCAGCAAGGUCCAUCCAGAGAGAGGCCUGAGUUGACAUAGAGGAGGGGGAGUCCGGGAGGGGAUGGAUACCAGAGGAAGGAGGGAAAGGCCCAAAUUUGGGAGGCCGGGGGUUGGAGCACUAGCUUGGGGUGAUGAGGAAGCUGGGGGGAGGCAAGAGAGGACCCUGCCUCUCCUGAGGAGUGAGCAGAGCCAGGGCAGUCCCUGGGGUCCAGGGCCAAGAUUUCCUGCUGACCCCUGCAGGAGCUGGGAGGGCAGAGCCUCAGCCUCCACUAUGUUGGGGGAAGGGCUCCCGGGCCCCCGGCACCUGGACACCCACCUGUCCAGAGCCUACAGAGACCCUGCGUCCCCACACAGCAGCUCCUCACACCAGAGUUCUGGUGCCCAGCACUCCUCAGCAGCAGUGAGGCCACAGGCAGGGCACAGGCCUCUGUCCCUACGCCAGGUCCUCCCCUAAAAGGGCAGUGGCAGCAGGGGCCGCCGCAGAAGGAAUGGCAGAUGAGACCCAAAGCCUUUGGUCAUCACCCCAGAGGUCUAUGCCAAAGCCUGGGUGGGGCUCCCAGGAGAUGGAACAGGGACACAUACCAGGCAGGUCCACGCCAGGGGUGCGGGGCCCUGAUGAGGAACCGGGCUGCACUGGUCAUGGCUGCACCUGAGCCGCCGCCACCUGUCCCGCAGCCAUCAGGCAGGAGCUGAGUGGGAUCAGCACCACGUAAGGGGCCGGCCUCGCUGCGCUGAUUCGUCGAGCCCAUCCGGCGACAGAGGACAGCCAGAAGCCCAGCCAGCCCCAGACUCCAGUGCACCAGAGCACGCACAGGAGCCUGGGCGCGCUGCUGUGAAACGUCCUGACCUGUGAUCACACAUGACAGUGAGGAAACCAAGUGCAACUCCUGGGUUUUUUUAGAUUCUGCCUGACACGGAACACCAGGUCUGCUCGUCUUUUUUGUGUUUUAUAUUUGCUUAUUUAAGGUACAUUUCUUUGGGUUUCUAGAGACGCCCCUAAGUCACCUGCUUCAUUAGACGGUUUCCAGGUUUUCUCCCAGGUGACGCUGUUAGCGCCUCAGCUGGCGGUGACAGCCGGCCCAGCGUGGCGCCACCACACACCGCAGAGCUGUCCAGGCACAGCUCCGUCCCCAGCGCUCAUGGUGUUGAAACUGUCUGUCAUGCACCACGGUGUCUGUGUCCACACAGUAAUAAACGGUUUACUGUCCGC
rnacentral:lncRNA from 1 species